UCAGCGGACGUAUCAAAUAUCAAUUAGAUAGCAUUGUACUUCAACUUCAUGUUGACAGGUAAAUCCUGGUUUUUCAGUGUUGUAGAGCUUGCAUAAAGAAGGGAAAAUGCAACCACUGGACUCUAGUUGUGAUGCAAGAAAAGGAACUUUUAAAUCUAAAGGUCCUGUUAGCGAGUACGAAGAGAGAGUUUGAAAAUCUGCAGUCUCAGCUACAAAGUGAUCUGAAGCAACUUGGAGACCAAGUACUGGAUAUGUCUAAUGCUGCUCUUGGAUAUCACAAGGUUAUGAAAGAAAACAGAACUUUGCA